UUCUGGCUACUGAGUCCGGUGAUGGCCACGGCAGGUUUGUUUCCAAGGUUUAUCUGAAAGUGGAUGAGACCGAUAGGGAAGACGAAAACAUCACCCUUUUUGAGAAUUUUGGAGAUUAAUCGGUUUUCUGUGUUGGAGGUGACAAAUCCCACUCCUAAUGUCCCCUCGAGUACAGUGAGGAGCUCGGUUGCACGAGGGUGUGUGUGAGGAGGAUUCAAGCCACCGGGUUGAAAGUCGAUGCGAACUAGGGAAAUUCCAAGAGUAUUAAGACCAGGGAUCUGUUCGACAUUCACUGGUGUAACAAUUGACCCGACUCGGCUUUUGCUAUUACCUGCUUUGUCCAGACCAGAGAAGAAGAAGUCUUUCUCACUCACUUGUUUUGGGUUCUUGCAGACUAAUCCAUUCACAAACACUGCAUGCGUAUUAAAAUUCACAGAAUAGAUGAGAAGACAAUAUAUAUAUAUAUGUUAAUAAAUAAAUAAAAUUUGUUCACAACUUCACAUAUAUAUACUUAAUUCUUACCCUUGGAUGCAUGAUCAGCAACACAGAAAUCUUGAAGAGGGCUUGGAUCAGAUGCCAUGGCUGAAGAAGCAAUAGCCAUUGCCAUAGCAAACAACAAAAAGACAAGUUUGGAAUCCAU
rnacentral:lncRNA from 1 species